rnacentral:rRNA from 1 species
AACGAACGCUGGCGGCAUGCCUAACACAUGCAAGUCGAACGCGUGUAGCAAUACACGAGUGGCGGACGGGUGAGUAACGCGUGGGAACCUGCCCAAUGGUAGGGAAUAACUGCGGGAAACUGCAGCUAAUACCCUAUGCUCCCUACGGGGGAAAGAUUUAUCGCCAUUGGAGGGGCCCGCGUCGGAUUAGCUAGUUGGCGGGGUAACGGCCCACCAAGGCUACGAUCCGUAGCUGGUCUGAGAGGAUGAUCAGCCACACUGGGACUGAGAUACGGCCCAGACUCCUACGGGAGGCAGCAGUGGGGAAUAUUGGACAAUGGGGGAAACCCUGAUCCAGCAAUGCCGCGUGAGUGAAGAAGGCCUUAGGGUUGUAAAGCUCUUUCGGCGGGACGAUGGUGACGGUA